rnacentral:rRNA from 1 species
UACGUAGGGUGCGAGCGUUGUCCGGAAUUACUGGGCGUAAAGAGCUCGUAGGUGGUUUGUCGCGUUGUUCGUGAAAACUCACAGCUUAACUGUGGGCGUGCGGGCGAUACGGGCAGACUGGAGUACUGCAGGGGAGACUGGAAUUCCUGGUGUAGCGGUGAAAUGCGUAGAUAUCGAGAGGAACACCUGCGGCGAAGGCGGGUUGCUGGGCUGACACUGACGCUGAGGCGCGAAAGCUAGGGGAGCAAACGGG